rnacentral:rRNA from 1 species
GAUGAACGCUGGCGGCGUGCCUAAUACAUGCAAGUCGAGCGAACAGACGAGGAGCUUGCUCCUCUGACGUUAGCGGCGGACGGGUGAGUAACACGUGGAUAACCUACCUAUAAGACUGGGAUAACUUCGGGAAACCGGGGCUAAUACCGGAUAAUAUAUUGAACCGCAUGGUUCAAUAGUGAAAGACGGUUUUGCUGUCACUUAUAGAUGGAUCCGCGCCGCAUUAGCUAGUUGGUAAGGUAACGGCUUACCAAGGCAACGAUGCGUAGCCGACCUGAGAGGGUGAUCGGCCACACUGGAACUGAUACACGGUCCAGACUCAAACGGGAGGCAGCAGUAGGCAAUCUUCCGCAAUGGGCGAAAGCCUGACGGAGCAACGCCGCGUGAGUGAUGAAGGUCUUCGGAUCGUAAAACUCUGUUAUUAGGGAAGAACAAAUGUGUAAGUAACUAUGCACGUUUUGACGGUACCUAAUCAGAAAGCCACGGCUAACUACGUG